CCUGGCUCUCAGCCACUAUUGUUUGUGAGGUGUAUAAAUAUAACACUGAUACUGUGAAAGAGCUGCUGAAUAAAGCCGUGUCUCAUCUACCUGCUGUCUCCCAAGUGUUCUUCCAGCUCCCUGCCCCUCAUCAACCCACUCUCCUCAGACCUCAGCUGGGGCUUGAACCUGAUAAUUGGUGUAGUCAUCAGGAUGAGCUGUACCCUUCAUCACGAAUUUGAUGGACUGCUUGACAAUGGAACUGGAAGAGUACCACUUUGUGGUGGACUUAGCUAAUGCAGUCUUCUCCAUUGACAUUGCUCCAGAGAGCCAGGAGAAGUUUGUCUUCACGUGGGAAGGAUGACAAUGGACUUUCACCAUGCUGCCACAGGGCUGUGUGCAUAGCCCCACCAUUUGUCCUGGUCUUGUUGCCAUGGAUUUAGCUGCCUGGAAAUGCCCAAAAGGGGUCUGCCUGUUUCAUUACAUUGAUGAUAUGUUAACCUCUGAUUCUCUCACAGAUUUAGAAGUGGUGGUGCCCCUCUUGUGACAGCAUUUGGCAGUGUGCAGUUGGGCCAUCAAUAAAUCCAAGGUCCAAGGGCCGGAAUUGUCUGCCAAAUUCUUGGGAGUUAUUUGCUCAGGUAAGACAAAGAUCAUACCUGAGGCCAUCAUUGAUAAGAUCUAGGCAUACCUCCGACCUACCACAGUGAGGCAGCUGCAGACUUUUGGGGGCCUCUUGGAGUAUUGACAGGCAUUUGUGCCCCAUUUGGCUCAAACGAUAAAACCGUUGUACCAGUUAACAAAAAAAGGGGGCUAUUAGGGAUUGGGAUGAUGAGGCUGAAACAGACUUUCUGGCCACAAGUGGGCCAUUUGGCAAGCACAGACCUCACAAGUAAUUGAUCAGGGGCGCCCACUUGAACCUGAUGUACAUGGAACCACAGAUGGUUUUGGUUGGGGCCCAUGGCAGUGCAUGGAGCACUUUAGAACACCAGUAGGCUUUUGGUCCCAGCUGUGGAAGGGAGCUGAGCUCCAGUAUUCAUUAAGAGAGAACUAAUUAGCUGCUGCAUAUGCUACUCUUCAGGCCUGUGAGAGCAUGAUGGGACGGGCUACAGCCAUCGUGUGGAUGACUUACCCAAUAGAGGAGUGGGUAUGUUCAUGGGUAAUGACCCCCUGGACUGGAAUGUUACAGACAUUCGCUUUACAGAAGUGGGGUGCCUACUUGGAGCGGCAGAGUACAAUCCCUUAGCAGCAGAUUGUCCUUAGCAGCAGGUAGUCCUAAUGCAAGAUAAGGCCAUGGGGCCUGAGGCACCCCAGACCCUGAGCCAUCCCAGUUUAAGGAAGGGCAUCCUGCCAUUCCUGAUGGGGCAUGGUAUACAGAUGGGUCCAGCCAAGGUGCUGCUGCUGCCUGGACUGCUAUAGCAGUCCAGCCCAGCACCAACACCAUGUGGGUUGAUACUAGGUGUGGACAAAGCAGCCAAAGGGCUGAACUCAGAGUGGUGGGGAUGGUGAUAACCAGGGAGGAGUCACCUAUGGUACUUUGCACCAAUAGCUGGGCAGUCUAUUGAGGUUUAACCUUGUGGUUGACUACCUGGAAAUUACAGAAUUGGCUUAUUUGACCCCAAAUCAGCCCAUUUGGGGUCAACCAUGAGGCAAGACCUCUGGGAAACAGGUAAUCAGAAUGUGUCAAGCCAUAUGCCUUUGGCUACCCCUGGUAAUGAUGAAACAGACUCCUUGACAAAGGUCCGAUGAUUAGAGUCAGCACCUACACGAGAUGUGUCUCCAGAGGUAUGUCUCCAGAUGGAGACAACUGCCCAAUGUAACACAACAAGUGACAGUAGGGCAGGUGCCCUUGACCAGAUGGCAAUGAGAUUACAUUGGGCCAUUGCCAAAAUCGCAGGGCUACACGUAUACACUGAUGGCUGUAGACACGGCCAUUGGCUUAUUGUUCACCUACCCUUGCAGGGUGGCUGGCCAGCAACACACCAUUUGAGCCCUGCAACACUUAUGUGACUUAUAUGGCCAUCCCCUGGCCAUUGAAAGUGAUAGUGGAACACAUUUUACUGGACAGCAGGACUUAUAUGGCCAUCCCUUGGCCAUUGAAAGUGAUAGUGGAACACAUUUUACUGGACAGCAGGUACAACAGUGGGCACAGCAGAUGGACAUACAAUGGGGGUUCCAUGUUCCUUAUAACCCACAAGCUGCUAGCAUGAUUGAGCAAUAUAAUGGACUCCUGAAGAACGGGUUACAUUUGCAUGUUCCCCACCCCUCCUCCCCACCCAUCUUUGUGGGGCUGGAGUUCCAGGUUGGACCUGGUGCUUCAAAUCUUGAAAAUGUGGCCAUGGAAAGGUGGCCCGGCCCCGGUGGAGGCACUGUUACACCAGGCCACUGCCCCCAUCCAACUACAGAUACACACCAAGGAUGACCUCCUCUGACCAGCCACAGGUUGGCAUGCUCCAACAACAUUGUGGACUGGGCUCACACCUAUGCUGAGGUGGCCAAUGUCUCCAACUGUUAGAUCUGCACCACCCUUCCAGCAGCAGCUGUGGAUGGCUUGCCUUGGCAUGUGCAUCCAGCUUUUGUGAAGAACUGGACAUGGCUAGAAACUUGGGGUCCCACAGACAAUGGGCGGGAUGCAACAUGGUGAGCUUUGGAUGGGGGUGUCACAAAACCCAUGGCAAGCCUGCCCCCUGGCUGACUCAUAGCAUCCAUGAUGAAUGGGGCUGGCUAAUGGGAGAAAACAUGGUGGCCCCAUUGCAAGUACCACGAUGUAUAGAGCAACACUGGGGUAAGGUCACUGUGGGAUGGUUGCCUGCUGAGACCUGUGCAAACGUAACACAUGCCACCAUGCCAAGGAUGUGGUGGAACAAGCAGCCCUACCAAGGCUGGGCCCCCAUGGACUUUGUGCCUGCUGGGAGUUUAUAGGUCUGUGGGGACAUAGGAUGGCCAUAUCUGCCAGCCAACUAGACUGGACAUUGUACCUGGGAGUGGCCUUCUGUGCCUGCCACUGUGCUUCCCACAUUGCUUAGUCACACACAUAACUGGGAGGUGCUGUGUUCCCAGUUUUUGUGAGUGCAUUGAGCCCCUAGUGGUUCUACCCCUUAGCAAUAACUGUCCCUGGAACAGGUGUCAUCACUGUAGAAAUGCAGGUUACAGCCCUUGCAGAACACAGAGAUUGGGCCCAUGAAUUACACCUGAGCUGCCCUCCUUUUGUUAAUUGAUGAGUUUGAUCAGAUCAGGAAGGUGGUGAUGCAAAACCGGAUGGCCUUAGACAUAGUCACAGCUGCUCAAGGUGGCACCUGUGCCCUUGUAGGGACAGAGUGUUGUACAUUCAUCCCUGACAACCACCAGAACAUAGUGGCAGCUUUGCAGGGGGUGUCAUGUCAUAGGAGAUUAAGGCAAUUGAAUACCUUACUGAUGACCGCCUGCAGAGAUGGUGGGUGUCUCUGGGCUCUGGCCUACACUGGGCUCUUAUAAUCAUAGGUAGCAUAGCAGGAAUAUUAGUAGUAGGUUGUUGCUCUCUUUAUUGUUGCUGUGGCCUCUGGGUCCAGGGUGCUCCCCUAUGUGCACGAGUUCCCAUUAAGAGGACCCCCUUGGCCUAGGGGGCGGAGUGUAAGGAACAUGGCUGUGUUGCUGCCAGGCAGGCAUAGGCCGAGGUAAAAAUCCUGCAUGACACAGUGGGAUUAGAGCACACGCGCGCAAUCCUGUGCCUGAUAUAAUCACAGCUAGGUAGACAUAACACAGAGAAGCUCAUCAUUUGGCUCUCAGCCACUAUCAUUUGUGAGGUGUACAAAUGUAACACUGACACUGUGAAAGAGCUGCUGAAUAAAGCCAUGUCUCAUCUACCUGCUCUCUCUCGAGUGUUCUUCCAGCUCCCUGCCCCCCGCCCCAUCUACCCACACCCCUCUGACCUCAGCUGGGGCUUGAAACUGACAUUUGCUUUAUUGUACUUUGCAGAUACUUAAAAAAAAAACCAAAUUAAAGUUUUGUGGCAACCCUGUGUUGAGCAAGC
rnacentral:lncRNA from 10 species